rnacentral:rRNA from 1 species
CGGAGGAAAAGAAACCAACAGGGAUUGCCCCAGUAACGGCGAGUGAAGCGGCAACAGCUCAAAUUUGAAAUCUGGCCCCAGGCCCGAGUUGUAAUUUGCAGAGGAUGCUUUUGGCGCGGUGCCUUCCGAGUUCCCUGGAACGGGACGCCAUAGAGGGUGAGAGCCCCGUACGGUUGGACACCAAGCCUUUGUAAAGCUCCUUCGACGAGUCGAGUAGUUUGGGAAUGCUGCUCUAAAUGGGAGGUACAUUUCUUCUAAAGCUAAAUAUUGGCCAGAGACCGAUAGCGCACAAGUAGAGUGAUCGAAAGAUGAAAAGCACUUUGAAAAGAGGGUUAAACAGCACGUGAAAUUGUUAAAAGGGAAGCGCUUGUGACCAGACUUGCGUCCGGUGAAUCACCCAGCUCUCGCGGCUGGGGCACUUCGCCGGCACAGGCCAGCAUCAGCUUGCCGUCGGGGACAAAAGCUUCAGGAACGUGGCUCCUCUCGGGGAGUGUUAUAGCCUGUUGCAUAAUACCCUUCGGCGGGCUGAGGUACGCGCUCCGCAAGGAUGCUGGCGUAAUGGUCAUCAGCGACCCGUCUUGAAACACGGACCAAGGAGUCAACCUUAUGUGCGAGUGUUUGGGUGUCAAACCCCUACGCGUAAUGAAAGUGAACGCAGGUGAGAGCUUCGGCGCAUCAUCGACCGAUCCUGAUGUUCUCGGAUGGAUUUGAGUAAGAGCAUAUAGGGUUGGACCCGAAAGAAGGUGAACUAUGCGUGUGUAGGGUGAAGCCAGAGGAAACUCUGGUGGAGGCUCGCAGCGGUUCUGACGUGCAAAUCGAUCGUCAAACAUGCGCAUGGGGGCGAAAGACUAAUCGAACC